rnacentral:tRNA from 1 species
GAGAUGUUAGUUAAAUCAUAACCCUGCCUUGUCAAGACAUAAUUACAACCUAAAACUUGUACAUCUUU